UUCUUUUCACAUGACUCAACCUUUGCUCUCUUUUCCGCAUUAAAUUUCUCCCCAUCACAUGAUCUUCGUUCAAUUUAGCUUUUAAAUGACAAAUUGAGUUUGAGGUCAAAAUCAAUUAUGUCAAAUAAAUGUACAAAUAGGUAUUUCCAAUUCAAACAGACUAGUAUAUCAAAGAAUGAUAGCAAGGACCAACUUCACGUUCGCAGUCACAAGCAGAUCCAGAAUUUAAAUAUUGUAGAUUUAGAUUUGUAAUUCUAUUAUAUC
rnacentral:lncRNA from 1 species